rnacentral:rRNA from 1 species
UACGGAGGGGGCUAGCGUUGUUCGGAAUUACUGGGCGUAAAGCGCACGUAGGCGGCUUUGUAAGUUAGAGGUAGAAGCCCGGGGCUCAACUCCGGAAUUGCCUUUAAGACUGCAUCGCUAGAAUUGUGGAGAGGUAAGUGGAAUUCCGAGUGUAGAGGUGAAAUUCGUAGAUAUUCGGAAGAACACCAGUGGCGAAGGCGGCUCACUGGCCCGGUACUGACGCUGAGGUGCGAAAGCGUGGGGAGCAAACAGG